CAUCAUCGUUCUGCUAUUGGUUUUGUGAUAAAGUGACCGUGGUAAAGAUAUAGGAGACAACAUUUGCAUAUAAAUUAAACUAUGUUUCCUUCCAGGAUCUGGGAUAUUUGAAUCGUAUUAAAUUGUGUUUUUUGCAAGGCGGAAUUUUUAAAUUUUUUUUUGUUCACAAUUGACCUUGUCUGCAAAAGUGUAGGAAAUUAUUAACUGAAUUUGAAGACGACGGUUAAAUCAAAUUUGAGAAAGGAAGAGUGGAUGUAUAAGUACAGACAACAUGGAGAAACCAUAAAUGAUGCCAUAUAUAAAUGUGACAACGACAGAAAAGUAUAAGAAGGCGGAACAGUCGUUACUAUGGUUACCAUACGUCAUAAUUACAGUUGUGUGCCUUGUACUCCUUGCCAUUAACUUCUGGUGUUAUCAUAGGAGACGACGGUUACAAUAUGAGAGAAAAUCUGAAGUACUUGAGACAAGGGAGCGAGUUAGGGAACGCCGGAUCAUUCUUAAUAUUGUCAAAUCAAAAUAUAAGUCGUACAUUGUAGACGACAAGGGCAAAAAUAUGGAAGGAAAUUCAUGCGUUAUUUAUUCGAAUUCUAUGCAAUUUACAUCCAAUGGACAAGGAGUCGCGAAUAUGUGAUACAACAGAUGUCUAUUUCUAUUUUAGUUUUCUGUAUAACAGUAUUCCUAUUUGAUUGUUGCCUGUCUAGUUAUUUGAUAAAAUGAAAUAUUGAUAUAUAAACGAAGUGGCAAACUUGCACUUAUGAAACCUGCUAAUGUCAGGAAAAUUUAAUUAAAAUGAAAACGAUAAUCUUGCAGUUAAAAUCCUAUAGUAUAGUUAAAAAGUAGUGCGCAUGAUAAACAAUUAUGUCGGGAGCAGUUAACUUACAACAGUUGUUCUUAACAGCGGCAGUUAUAUCUUAAUUACGAAAAUGGCAAAGUUUAAAUCAUUAUCGUAUUCGUGACCAAGCUGACGAUUUCUCCAGUAGUAUGACUUGUUUAAAUAUUAGUAUAGGAUAGUUUGGACAUGAUGAAAUGUCGUUAUAUCAAUAGGUAUGUAUCUAUGUCUUUACACAGUCAUAAGAAAUCAUAUUAGACCGUCUGUAUAAACCAUGACGAAAUAAUCAAAGUUAUCGUGAAGUGUUAAUCUUUAAUUUCGGAUAUUUUCUAUGUUAAAUAAUUCUAUUUCAAGCAAGCAAUUUAAGAGAAUGCGUUGUUUAAAAUAUGCAAAUUCAUUGUAUUUCAAUAACGGAGAAGGAAAACCACAUUUAAGUAUAAGAAUUAAGAAAUACAUUAUUCUGUUUCUAAUUGUUAGAAGUGUUAUAUGUAUUUUGUGAAGCUGUUGUUUAUUUCACUGAGAAACGACAGUAAGUUUUCAAGAUAUUUCGGAUUCAUCAUAUUAUUUUAAAUGCAGUUGUUGGUAAUUAAUGCGGUCACAUAUGAUGUAGAAAAAGAAGAAUGAAUACUUAUCACAUCCCUCAGCUGAAAUUGUUUAAAGAAUGAAUUCUUAUACAUCUCUCAGAUGAAAUUGUGGUGGAGUAAAAAUAUUGUUCUUUUACAUUGGCAAAAUAUAGAAGAGGUCAUUAGGUUGUUCACCACCAUUCACUUUUUUAGUGCCUUGAAGUACUGGAAAUCUUUAUUCAAGCCAUUGGUUAAAGUAGGAUCUUUGAGGGUGGCAAAUUAGAAAUGUUAUUCAGUGUAUAGCCAUUAUUUAUUACAUAGGUAGAAUACUAUGAAGUUAGGUCAUGCUUGAAAUAUCUGCAACCAUCUUGAAAUAAAUAAAUUGUUCAAAUAAAGAUACCCAACUUGAGCGCAUCAUUUCCUAUUUAACGCCAAGUUGCCAAGUUUAUUGCAUAUUGUAAUCUUUUACAUCUUACAUCUAUUAAACAGUCGUCAUAAAAUAAUUCGAGGCAAACAUUAUUAGCUUUGCAAGGAUUAAUUCAUGUUUAAAAAUAUGCUUGAGUGCAAUUGAGACUAAUUCUGUGAAGUGUGUGUUAGAAUUGUAAAUGUUUAUUACAAUUAUUUUUAUCACUACAAAUGCAUCUUUCAUUUUUAAUGCUAUAUGCUGACUGUUAAUAGUAAACUUUGAAAAGCAAUAAAAGCAUUACACGUGUUUCAUAUCUCAUUUUGCUAAACUUGGCCCAUACAUAUGAGCCGUCUAUGUUCUUUUGCAGUUGCACCACAUCAUUCAAUGAUCCAUAGUAGGUGCAACUAUAAAUUUCCAUUAGUCUUGUUCUUCAUGAUUCAGUGCAUCAAUUUUCUUGUAUGAAAAUUAGUUUAUCAUUGGUUUCGAAAAUCUCUUACUUGUUCUUUGAUUGUACGUUAGAUUUAUGAAUAUGUUUAUUCGUACAACAAAUUAUAAAACCUUUACCCUGCUAAGUUUCUAAAAUGGGACUUGGCCAUCAUUCAAUUUGGGCAGUACCAUUUAUUAUUCGAAGGGGUGUUCAUUGAAAACUCACUGACUGAAUAGCGAACGGUGCAGACUAUGAUCCGACUGCAAGGAUGUUCAGGCUGAUCUUGGUCUGCGCUGGUCGCAAAGGCAGAAUAACUUACCGACAGUAGGCUAAAGGUUAAUCACAUGCCGUUGUUACACAUGCUUUCUCUGUUAUAUAUGCUACUGAAUUGUCAAACAACAUAUUGAUGAAAUAAACAUUACGUACUGUGCACUGAAAAUAAAUAACUUUUUGUA